UGUUGACUUGUUUGGUUUGGGUUACAUGUUUACUUUUUGCUUCUUUAACAGGUGUUAACAGUUAUUCAGCAGUUUUCCAGGGCAUUUUGUUCCUUUUGUGUUUUACAGUCUUUUCCUGUUGUCCCAGCAGUUUGGUCCAGUUCCUGAAGUUAUUCUUUCAGAGUCUUUACGAGUAAGCGUCUCUUAACAACAGUUACAGUGAUACAGUACAAUAAUUAUCAUGUAUGGCCCAUUUUCUGUCCAGUCUGUGAGGAACCUACGUACAAUCUCUUUCUUACACAGAGACAGGGGCCAGAUUGAUUGGUGAAUCUGACAUCAGCACUGAUGAUAUACAGAACAGACUGGAACAACUUGCCAAGAGCUGGGAUGAGCUCAAACAGAUGACAGAAAGAAGAGGCCAGAUGUUGGAAGAAGCAUACACAUUCCAGCAGUUCAGCGCCAAUGUUGAUGAGGAAGAAGAUAUCCGAAAAACAACAACUCCUAUCUGGUGGUGACCUUGAUGAUACAAUGGCAGCUAUACAGGGGCUUCUGUAGAAACAUGUUGGAGACAGAUUUCCAGGUACAUAGAGAAAGAUGUGAGAAGGUGCAGCAAGAUGGAGAAAAACUUAUCCAAGAGCAGAGUUAACAGACAUUGCUGUUUCUGCAAGACCAGUACAGGCAGAUAGAAUACCUCUACCUAGCUUUCACAAAGAAAGCCUUGGCCUUCAACUCUUGGUUUGAGAACACCGAGGAAAACUUGACCGACCCUGUAAGAUGUAAUUUGGUAGAGGAAAUAAGAUAUCUGCGUGAGAAUCAUGAGCAGUUCAAGCCCUGGCUGUCAGCUACACAGGCUGACUUCAACCAACUAGCUGCCCUUGACAAAGAAAUCAGAAGCUUCAGUUUAGGACCAAAGCCCUACACCUGAUUAACAAUGGAGGCCAUAUAGGAUACCUGGAAUAACCCGUAGAAAAUCAUACAAACAACAUGGAAAUGAGCUCAUGUAAGAAGGACAGAAAUAAUAAUGAAACAGAAUGGGUAUUUGCUAAUGCACGGCAGACUCUGUAUGGUCAAACACCAUUGAAAGACAGUAAACCAGAGUGUACACAAGAUACAGACUCUAAUUGCAAUGGUAUUAAUGCAAUUCUCAUGAAACUUGAUUCCUUUUCGUAUGAAGUGAAACUAGUAAAAAAGAGCCUUACUGAACAAAUUGAUUGGCUUGAAACUGAAUUGGAAUGUAAGUUGAUCGAAAAAAAUCUGAAAAGAUGGCUCAAAAUCUAGAUAAAAGAGUGAAUUCCAAAAUGAAAAAAGUGCAUAAAAAUCUCAAUGAAAGGAUUGAUACACAUAGAGCUGACAUAAGCAGUGAACUGGAUGCCAUAUCUGGAAAACUAAAUUAUUUAACUGUUUGUAUCCAAACUGAUGACACAGACUAUAGGUCCUUGAACUUAGGCUUUAGAAAAGUGCCAGAAACUGUAAAUGAAAAUAUUGUGGAAAAAUUGUUAUAAUAAAUGAUCACAUGAAGUUGAGGAUGUUAAAGUAUGGUCUGCAAAGAGAAUUCCAAAUAGAAAUGAAGAAUCCAUAGUUCCAGGUAUUGUAAUAGCCACUUCUGCUGACAAAAAUGAAUGGUCUAAAAUUCUAAAAGCAAAGAAAACCUUAAAAGAUACAAUAUACAACAAUGUUUUUGUGCAUGUAGAGUCAAAGGAGGAAAGGAUUACUGCAAACAACUUGAGACUCAUGAUUGAUGCAGUUAACACAGGGGAACACUUAGCAGUCAGAGGAAACCGUGUCUUUAAAGCUCAGCAGAAAAAUGACAGAAAUGGUAAUUCUGGGAAUAAUGGUACCCAUAAUAAUGGUACAAAUGGUGCAAACCAAAAUAAUGGUAUUCGUAAUUCAGGUUUUACAAAUAGUGGUACCCACAAUAUUGGUACAAAUCGUGCUAAUGAUGAUCAGAUUGAUCAUUCAUAAUGAUAACAAUCGUGGUUUCAGAAAUAACACUAAUUCCCAUAAUGGUCAAGGUCAGAAAGGAAGAGAUCAAGGUCAACAUGGAAAUGGGUGGAGUGGUCGUGGCGGUGGAAACAGACAUAGCUAGGUUUCCAUUGGGCUUUGGAAUGUCAACGGUUUUAGUACAGAAACAGACAGUGACAAUUUUCUUUGAGAUAUGAUUGUAUAAAACAUCAAGAUUUUGACAUUUUAGGCAUAGCUGAGACACAUUUGAUAGAUAACAAUGUAUUAAAUUUACCAGGAUAUGUCUGGUUUGGACAUAAUAGGACUAAUUCAUGUAAGAAGAUUUUAGUGAUAGAUAUUUAUGUCUCCCCCCCUCUGGGGGAGACAUAUUGUUUUUGCCCUGUCCGUCCGUCCGACCGUCCAUACGUCACACUUCAUUUCCGAGUAAUAACUGGAGAACCAUUUGACCUAGAACCUUCAAACUUCAUAGGGUUGUAGGGCUGCUGGAGUAUACGACCCCUAUUGUUUUGGGGGUCAUUCCGUCAAAGGUCAAGGUCACAGGGGCCUGAACAUUGAAAACCAUUUCCGAUCAAUAACUAGAGAACCACUUGACACAGAAUGUUGAAACUUCAUAGGAUGAUUGGUCAUGAAGAGUAGAUGACCCCUAUUGAUUUUGGGGUCACUGCAUCAAAGGUCAAGGUCACAAGGGCCUGAACAUUGAAAAUCAUUUCCGAUCAAUAACUAGACAACCACUUGACCCAGAAUGUUGAAACUUCAUAGGAUGAUUGGUUAUAAAGAGUAGAUGACCCCUAUUGAUUUUGGGAUCACUCCGUCAAAGGUCAAGGUCACAGGGGCCUGAACAUUGAAAACCAUUUCCGAUCAAUAACUAGAGAACCACUUGACCCAGAACGUUGAAACUUCAUAGGAUGACUGUAUAUGCAAAGCAGAUGACCACUAUCGAUUUUGGGGUCACUCUGUUAAAGGUCAAGGUCACAGGGGCCUGAACAUUGAAAACCAUUUCCAAUCAAUAACUAGAGAACCACUUGACCCAGAAUGUUGAAACUUCAUAGUAUGACUGGUCAUGAAGAGUAGAUGACCCCUUUUGAUUUUGGGGUCACUCUGUCAAAGUUCAAGGUCACAGGGGCCUGAACAUUGAUAAUCAUUUCCAAUCAAUAACUAGAGAACCACUUGACCCAGAACGUUGAAACUUCAUAGGAUGACUGUACAUGCAAAGUAGAUGACCUCUAUCGAUUUUGGGGUCACUCUGUUAAAGGUCAAGGUCACAGGGGCCUGAACAUUGAAAACCAUUUCCGGUCGGUAACUUGAGAACCACUUGACCCAGAAUGUUGAAACUUAAUAGGAUGAUUGGUCAUGCAGAGUAGAUGACCCCUAACCAUUUUGGGGUCACUCUGUUAAAGGUCAAGGUCACAGGGGCCCAAACAUUGAAAACCAUUUCCGGUCAGUAACUAGAGAACCACUUGACCCAGAAUGAUGAAACUUCAUAGGGUGAUUGGUCAUGCAGAGUAGAUGACCCCUAACGAUUUUGGGGUCACUCUGUUAAAAGUUUCCAAUCAGUAACUUAAGAACCUGUCAACCCAGAAUGUUGAAACUUCAUAGGAUGAUUGUUCAUGCAGAGUAAAUGACCCCUUUUGUUUUUGGGGUCACUCCGUUAAAAGUCAAGGUCACAGGGGCCUGAACAUUGAUAACCAGUUCCGAUCAAUAACUUGAGAACCACUUGACCCAGAAUGUUGGAACUUCAUAGGAUGAUUGAACAUGCAGAGUAGAUGACCCCUAUAGAUUUUGGGGUCAGUCUAUUAAAGAUCAAGGUCACAGUGGCCUGUUCAUGUAAAAUCAUUUUUUUGGAAAUAACUUGAGAACCACUUGACCUAGAAUGUUGAAACUUAAUAGGAUGAUUGGACAUGCUGAGUAGAUGACCCCUAUUAAUUUUGAGGUCACUUGAUCAAAGGUCAAGGUCACAUGAGCCUGAACAGUGGCUUGAGAACCACUAGGCCAAGAGUGUUGAAAUUUAGUGGGAUGACUGGACAUGCCAAGUAGAUGAUCCCUAUUGCAGCCAACCAUCAGUGUCUCUUUGACUUUCGCUCCUGACUUCUAUUGACUUCUUGCCUAUAGGACUUUGCAUUGGGGGAGACAUGCGCUUUUUUACAAAAGCAUUUUCUAGUUUAUAAAUGUCUUUGAUGAAAGUUAUGAUGGUAUAUUAUGGCGAGAAUUUAUUGAUAAAUGUACUGGUUUUUCCUUUUAUACAUGUGUUUGCAACCUACCACCAGUUGAUUUCUCUAGAAAUGUUGAUGUUUCCGAGUUUUAUGAUACAUUACUUUAAAUAGUAAUAUGUAUUCUUAUCAAAAUCUUGAUUAUAUUGCUGGUGUUGAUGAUUUACCAGAAAGAACUAUUGUUGAUUUUAAUACAAAUACAUGUCACGGUACGGACUUGGUCACGUAAGGGGAGAUUAUGUGUCAGGCAGCCGGUAAGCUCAGUCGGUAGAGCACUCGCCCUGUAAGCGAGGGGUCCCGGGUUCGAGCCCCGGACUGACUGCACAUUUUUCUUACCCUGUGACAUUUGACGCCCAACGUGGGGCCGUGGCAUGCUUGCUUGGUCAGUCUAACAACACUUGCAAUAUUAUGUACCUCCGGAAUUGGAGGACGAAUUUCCAAUAUGUGGGGGUGUAUGUCACGGUACGGACUUGUUCACGUAAGGGGAGAUUAUUUAUCAGGCAGCCGGUUAGCUCAGUCGGUAACGCACUCGCCCUGUAAGCAAGGGGUCCCGGGUUCGAGCCCCGGACUGACUGCACAUUUUUCUUACCCUGUGACAUACAUUUGAUGACAAAUUGAUAGAUUUUUUAAUUGACAGCAAUAUGUGUGUUCUUAAUGGUAGACAGUAUCUAGCCCGCCCGCUUAGCUCAGUAGGUAGAGCGUCGGUCUACGGAUCGUGGGGUCGUGAGUUCGAUCCUCGGGCGGGGCGUAUGUUCUCCAUGACUAUUUGAUAAACGACAUUGUGUCUGAAAUCAUUAGUCCUCCACCUCUGGUUCAUGUGGGGAAGUUGGCAGUUACUUGCGGAGAACAGGUUUGUACUGGUACAGAAUCCAGGAACACUGGUUAAGUUAACUGCCCGCCGUUACAUGACUGAAAUACUGUUGAAAAACGGCGUUAAACCCAAAACAAACAAACAAACAAACUUCAGUAUCUGUUAAGGGAUGUUCUGUGGUAGACUAUUGUAUAGUCCAUCAUGAUAAUUUGUAUCUAUUCAAAGAUUUCAAAGUAAUUGGAAGUUCAGAAAUUGUGUCGGAAAUUUAUAGAAAUAGAUGCAUACCAUCGUCAAUACCUGAUCAUUCCAUUUUGUCUUGGAUUUUUGAUUUGUCUGAUGUUACUGUUAACAAUGCUACUAGUGGUGAUUCAUAUAAACAUGGUCCUAGUGCUUCAUAAACUUGAAAAAUAUUGCAGAUAACUUCUUGAAGUCUGACUCAGUCGUUACAUCACUACAUGAUGCAAUUUUUAAACUAGAACAAAGUUUACGUCAUCAACAUGUAUUGAUGCAGCCUAUUCUGACAUUUCAUACUGAAGAAUUAGGUAAAAAUCGAUUCUAUUAUCUUUCCUUGUUUAUCGAGAUCAACGCUAUAAAUUGUUGUCUCCCUUAGACCGUCUAACUAAUUGUCGGUCACUAUCGGAUAUUUUUUAGCGAGUGUUGCAGAUCGAUAUGGUUCGGCUAUCUCUGCUUAUCAUAUCACGGGAGGUGCCGAUCAUAACCCAAUUAAAAAUGUGUAUCAUUCCGUCACAGCUCAAAACACGCAGUUGAACUAUACACCAAUUUUAGUACCGGUAAAACAACAACAACAAAUAUAGUCAUCUUUAUAUUUAUCAGGUUACAUACAGAGUAACAACUUGGUUUAUUCUGUUUUUCAAUAAUGUUAAAUACAGAACGGAAAAAGAGUUACGUUAUUUAUUAAAAUUUUGUAUAGUAUAUGAAAAUAUGAUCAACACUGUAUUAUCUUCUUUAUAUUUUACAUUAAAGUAACUGAGACAUAACCCCAAAUAUAAAUACACCAAAAAAAUAGGAAGCAGGAAAAAAUUAU